rnacentral:rRNA from 1 species
GAUGAACGCUGGCGGCGUGCCUAAUACAUGCAAGUCGAGCGAACGGACGAGAAGCUUGCUUCUCUGAUGUUAGCGGCGGACGGGUGAGUAACACGUGGAUAACCUACCUAUAAGACUGGGAUAACUUCGGGAAACCGGAGCUAAUGCCGGAUGAUAUUUUGAACCGCAUGGUUCAAAAGUGAAAGACGGUCUUGCUGUCACUUAUAGAUGGAUCCGCGCUGCAUUAGCUAGUUGGUAAGGUAACGGCUUACCAAGGCAACGAUGCAUAGCCGACCUGAGAGGGUGAUCGGCCACACUGGAACUGAGACACGGUCCAGACUCCUACGGGAGGCAGCAGUAGGGAAUCUUCCGCAAUGGGCGAAAGCCUGACGGAGCAACGCCGCGUGAGCGAUGAAGGUCUUCGGAUCGUAAAACUCUGUUAUUAGGGAAGAACAUAUGUGUAAGUAACUGUGCACAUCUUGACGGUACCUAAUCAGAAAGCCACGGCUAACUACGUG